UAAAGACAGGUGCUAUCAAAUGCA
rnacentral:siRNA from 1 species